ACUCCUACGGGAGGCAGCAGUGGGGAAUAUUGCACAAUGGGGGAAACCCUGAUGCAGCCAUGCCGCGUGUGUGAAGAAGGCCCUUGGGUUGUAAAGCACUUUCAGUAGGGAGGAAGGUAGUGUAGUUAACACCUGCACUAUUUGACGUUACCUACAGAAGAAGCACCGGCUAACUCCGUGCCAGCAGCCGCGGUAAUACGGAGGGUGCGAGCGUUAAUCGGAAUUACUGGGCGUAAAGCGCAUGCAGGCGGCCUGUUAAGUCAGAUGUGAAAGCCCGGGGCUUAACCUCGGAAUUGCAUUUGAAACUGGCAGGCUAGAGUCUUGUAGAGGGGUUAGAAUUUCAGGUGUAGCGGUGAAAUGCGUAGAGAUCUGAAGGAAUACCAGUGGCGAAGGCGGCCCCCUGGACAAAGACUGACGCUCAGAUGCGAAAGCGUGGGAGCAAACAGGAUUAGAUACCCCUGGUAGCGACUGA
rnacentral:rRNA from 1 species